rnacentral:lncRNA from 1 species
UGGCGGGGGGAGGGGGCCGCCGCAGCCCGCCCCGGCCCGCCGCCCUCGGUCGCCUCGCCGCCCUCCCCUCGUAUCGCCCCCAGCUCUGCCCUCCCGUGAAGCCCCGGCCCUGGGAGUCCCGUCGUUUCUCCCCGCGGCGGCAGGGGCGCUGGCGGGGGGAGCCCGGCGUUUCCAGCCUUGCUGGAGCUCGGCUGCGCCGGUCCCGGGAGGCGUAAAACGUUGUGGCCGUUCUGAGCCAAAGCGGCUUGCUGAGGGAGGAGAGGCCCUGCUUGCCCCAUGCGCCCGGCGAGAGGGCAGCCACCUGCCGCCCUGGGGACCGGGAGCAGUGGCCCAGGAGGUUGUGGUUGGUACAACAUUUGGAAAUGCUAGACUGUGAACUUGCAAAUGAUGAGAGCUUGCAGAACUCUUAUGUGGAAACUGGAUUACAAAGUCAUAAAAUUCCUCACUUUCUGGAUGAAAGUACUUUGUUCCGGUGUAGUAGACCUUGCUGGGAAGUACAGGAAUUGGAACCUAGCUCCAUACUAACCGCACCGAUUCUGCAGUGGACUAAGAAAUAG